UACGUAGGGGGCAAGCGUUGUCCGGAAUCAUUGGGCGUAAAGCGCGUGUAGGCGGCUCGAUAAGUCUGCUGUGAAAGUUCAGGGCUCAACCCUGAAAUGCCGGUGGAAACUGUCGAGCUAGAGUCCGGAAGAGGCGAGUGGAAUUCCUGGUGUAGCGGUGAAAUGCGCAGAUAUCAGGGGGAACACCAAUGGCGAAGGCAGCUCGCUGGGACGGUACUGACGCUGAGACGCGAAAGCGUGGGGAGCGAACAGG
rnacentral:rRNA from 1 species